GUGCUUGCUACAGCAGCCCUUAUACUAAAAUUGGAACAACAAAGAAAAGAUAAACAUGGCCCCUUGUACAAAGAUGACAUGCAAAUUUGUGAAGCAUUCCAUUUUAAA
ensembl:snRNA U6 U6 spliceosomal RNA